rnacentral:rRNA from 1 species
UACGUAGGGUGCGAGCGUUGUCCGGAACUAUUGGGCGUAAAGAGCUCGUAGGUGGUUUGUCGCGUUGUUCGUGAAAACCGGGGGCUUAACCCUCGGCGUGCGGGCGAUACGGGCAGACUGGAGUACUGCAGGGGAGACUGGAAUUCCUGGUGUAGCGGUGGAAUGCGCAGAUAUCAGGAGGAACACCGGUGGCGAAGGCGGUUCUCUGGGCCUUACCUGACGCUGAGGAGCGAAAGCGUGGGGAGCGAACAGG